rnacentral:tRNA from 3 species
GGGCCCGUAGUCGAUUGGUAAGACGUCUCCCUGACACGGAGAAGACAUGGAGUUCGAUUCUCCACGGGCCCA